rnacentral:sRNA from 1 species
UAAUAUAAGCUUUGUAAAAAGUAGAGUGAGAUAGUCAAGCCAUGUAAACUAGAAAGCAAUAUGUCAUGAAGAACACUAAAAGAAAAGGACCAAGGAAGAAUUCAAUAGCAUUCAUCUGCUGUUGGGUGUAAAAGAGAAAAGCCAGUGAAGUCAAGAUCAUCCAAAUGCUUCCUGUAGUGUCCACUGUAGUCUAUCUUGAUAUGUUGAUGUUUUCAUGAUCCAAUCUAUGGCCAGAAGGAAGGAAAGAGCUUUGUCUUACUCCU